rnacentral:rRNA from 1 species
GCUUAAAGAGGGGUUAAUGUCCUAUCAGCUAGUUGGUGGGGUAAUGGCCUACCAAGGCAAAGACGGGUAGCCGGCUUGAGAGGGCGGUCGGCCACACUGGGACUGAGACACUGCCCAGACUCCUACGGGAGGCUGCAGUCGAGAAUCUUUCGCAAUGCCCGAAAGGGUGACGAAGCGACGCCGCGUGUGGGAAGAAGGCCUUCGGGUUGUAAACCACUGUCGGGAGUUAGGAAAUGCAGGGGCGUUAAUAGCGCGCUUGCUUGACUAAGGCUUCAGAGGAAGCCACGGCUAACUCUGUGCCAGCAGCCGCGGUAAUACAGAGGCGGCAAGCGUUGUUCGGAAUUAUUGGGCGUAAAGAGCACGUAGGCGGCCUUGCAAGUCAGUUGUGAAAGCCUUCCGCUUAACGGAAGAACGGCAUCUGAUACUACAGGGCUUGAGUACGGGAGGG